rnacentral:siRNA from 1 species
CAGAAAGGUGUCCACGGUGA